rnacentral:rRNA from 1 species
GAUGAACGCUGGCGGCGUGCCUAAUACAUGCAAGUCGAGCGAACGGACGAGAAGCUUGCUUCUCUGAUGUUAGCGGCGGACGGGUGAGUAACACGUGGAUAACCUACCUAUAAGACUGGGAUAACUUCGGGAAACCGGAGCUAAUACCGGAUAAUAUUUUGAACCGCAUGGUUCAAAAGUGAAAGACGGUCUUGCUGUCACUUAUAGAUGGAUCCGCGCUGCAUUAGCUAGUUGGUAAGGUAACGGCUUACCAAGGCAACGAUGCAUAGCCGACCUGAGAGGGUGAUAGGCCACACUGGAACUGAGACACGGUCCGGACUCCUACGGGAGGCAGCAGUAGGGAAUCUUCCGCAAUGGGCGAAAGCCUGACGGAGCAACGCCGCGUGAGUGAUGAAGGUCUUCGGAUCGUAAAACUCUGUUAUUAGGGAAGAACAUAUGUGUAAGUAACUGUGCACAUCUUGACGGUACCUAAUCAGAAAGCCACGGCUAACUACGUG